GAUAGUUUAAAAGAAGGCAGCAGGGUACGUGCCAAGGACGGGGAAAGCCGUUCGAGUUCCUAUGGAAGUCAAAAUUGGAACGCAUAUGGGGGACUGGUAAACCAAUCCUCCUUUAUAAAUGAAAAGUGUGAAAACUAGCACAGCGAGAAUGACUCGAUUGUCCUCGUGUGAACUCGAACUUUUUCUACCGGCGUAUCUUAAGUUAUGGUCACACUUUCGGCGUCAGCGAUAAUCACAAGAGCUUCAAGAGUGACCGGAGAUUAUAUAUUUAUUCUGGUCAGGCAGCGUCAUUACAAAUGCCUCUCCCGACAAAGAGGGCGCUUCAAGCAAGCACGGAAGAGCAGCGCAUGAGGGCAAUGCCAGAACAGCAGACACGCAGUUUCUUUCAUCAAAGGAGACGUCCCUGGCGGAAUAAAGAACACUUCAACAACCUCAUAACACAGGAAGGCUGGUGAGGCGAAGUUCGCCAGUAACUUGGGAAGAGAUGACCAACACAGGACGGGGCUGCACAAAACAAAUGCUGGGUCUCCGGUAGGAACAAUACGCUAUAUUUCAAUUAGAAAUGAUUAUUUAAUCUGCUUUUUUCGCUUACUCGAGGAGUAAGCCUACAAACUAUACUUUGUUGUUGGAUGGGGGGGGGGGGGGUAGGAAAAGUCUAAAAAAAGGUCUGAAAAAAGUGUUUUUCGUUGAGUUUAAGAUACUGGAGUUUUAGGAUAAGGUAUUUAUGAUUUAUUUAUUAGAAUGAAAAUGUAAAAAAAUUAAUAAUAUGCAUGUUAAACAGUACACAACAACUAUUUCUGAUAAAAUAUAGCGUACUUAUAUUAAUAAUCGUUGGUGAAACAACACUAGCUAAUUUUUGCAUGUUUUAAUUUAUGUUAAGAAUAUAAUGUUUACAACUUAUGUCUAAGGGAAAAAUCUUGCACGCUUCCCAAGCAAGCUGUAGGCCGGAUCACACAGUUAAAAAAAAAAAAAAAAAAAAAAAAAAAAAAAAAAAAAAAAGUGCAGAGAGAGAAUUCCAAAGCUACAGUCCACUGCACAUGAAAUAGAACGUCAAGGCUCAAGGCUGUGCUUCCAAACAAGGCGUGAUCCGACCCCCAGCAGCUUACUGGGGGCGCAUGCUAAAAUCUAUGGUCAAAUAGCCUGUUGUUUCACCAACGAAAAUUAAAAUUAUUACGUUAUAUUUUAUUAUAAAUAAUUUUUCUGUACUGUUUAACAUCCACAUUAUUUAUUUUUUACAAUUUUAUUCGAAUACAUAAAUAUCCUAUCCUCAAAUUCCUGUGUCUUUAACUG